GACGAACGCUGGCGGCGUGCUUAACACAUGCAAGUCGAACGGAAAGGCCCUGCUUUUGUGGGGUGCUCGAGUGGCGAACGGGGGAGUAACACGUGAGUAACCUGCCCUUGACUUUGGGAUAACUUCAGGAAACUGGGGCUAAUACCGGAUAGGAGCUCCUGCUGCAUGGUGGGGGUUGGAAAGUUUCGGCGGUUGGGGAUGGACUCGCGGCUUAUCAGCUUGUUGGUGGGGUAGUGGCUUACCAAGGCUUUGACGGGUAGCCGGCCUGAGAGGGUGACCGGCCACAUUGGGACUGAGAUACGGACCAGACUCCUACGGGAGGCAGCAGUGGGGAAUAUUGCACAAUGGGCGGAAGCCUGAUGCAGCAACGCCGCGUGCGGGAUGACGGCCUUCGGGUUGUAAACCGCUUUCGCCUGUAACGAAGCGUGAGUGACGGUAAUGGGUAAAGAAGCACCGGCUAACUACGUG
rnacentral:rRNA from 1 species